UGUCGUGGCCGUCAAUCAUUUCUGACUCCCUAUCGCGGAGCUCCGCGCCCCCUUUCGCUCUGCCCUGGAAAAGACCCGGCGGCGGGCCUCCCAGCGCAGCCUCGUUUUCUCUACCCCUCCUCGGGAUUGGCUCAUCCGCACCUGUGCAUCAAGGAGUCGGGCCCUCCGAUUGGACUAGACUGUAGAUAGACAGGGGAAAGGUGGAACUAUUGGUUAACGGUCAUAAACGGUCGCUCAGAUUGUGCAGCUUUAUCGGGCUGUUCCACUAACCUACGGGGGUGUGUGUCGAGGGGAAGGAUUGUACCACUGAUACCGCUGUUAAUAAUGGCGAGACCGUACCACCAAAGGGGGGUGUUACAGGCUGUACCAUUGAUCAAUUGUGCCACUGACCUAAAUGAGGGAAUUGUGCUGUGCCAGUGACCUGGAUGGUGGGGGGACGUGAUGGUGCUACUGAACCGAUUGGGGAGGGAGAGGUAAAUGGAGGAGUGCAUACUAGGACCUGAUCAUGGGCUGCACAAGUGGACUGCACUAAGGGAGAGGUGCAUGCUGGGAGCCCUAAUCCCCAUGGGCCAUGCAUGAGGAGCAAGAUGGAGCAGUGCAUGCUGGGAGCUAUGCGUGGAGAUCAUGAUGGAGCAGUGCAUGCUGGGAGCCCUAAUCCCCAUGGGCCAUGCAUGAGGAACAAGAUGGAGCAGUGCAUUCUGGGAGCUAUGCAUGGAGAUCAUGAUGGAGCAGUGCAUGCUGGGGAGGCCAUCCUCCCCCCUAGGCUGCCCCUCCAGCUCACGUGGGUCAAGAGGAAGCAUUGCAUCCCAGGAACAGUCCUCUCCGCUGUAGUCGGCUCCACUGGACACAAUCUAGUUAUAGCAUCUGGGUUCUGGGCAGGAACGAACAAAAAUCAGUAUUUGGUUCAAUUCAAUGAGGAUUCAUGGCAUGACGAGCUCUUCAAGUGUUGCCAAAGUGUAAAUGCGACAGGCCCUUCAGGUCGCUGUUAGAGGGCGCCUUAAAAGGAGACUUUUAAAAUCAUCUCACCUCAGUUCGCCUCGCACCAGCUCAUCUCAUCUUUCCUGACCCCGUGACAGAAGGAGGGGACCAGCCUGGCUCUUGUUUAAGGGCCUUUGUUUUUCAUCUGUGAAUCCUGAAAGUCAUUAUAACAUCAUGCCAACCACUCCUCAGCCCAUCAGGGAGGACACCUAAUUGUCAGCACUGCAGGGGUACCGGUCAGAGGCAAGUUAGAUCCUGCUCCAUUUCCCUUCCCUUUGUGUGUUACUUUCUGCCCAGCUAUUUGUCCUCCUAUUCCCUCUCUCAUUCUCUCAGCUUUUCAUCAAAUCCUAAAAUCCGCUGUAUGUAGGCCUCAGAACAGUGAGAUGAUCCCGCCCUGCCCUGUCUGAGGAGAAAGGACCUGACUAGAUGACAUCCCUGUCCAGAAUGUGAGCCAGGGUCCAAGCAUCAGGUUUCGUGGCCAGCCUGAAGCAUCCAUUCGUAACUGACGAGCCUCCCACUGCUCCAAGAUCAUCAACAAAAGCCGAAUUCCCCCCCACACAUACUUUUCUAGCUUGUCUCUCCUCCACCUUGUGUCCCUCCGUUCCUUGGAACAGGAGAAUCGAACCUCCUUCAAACAUCAGGACUGAGAGCAAAAUUAACCCUUCCCUUUUCCUGAGAGAAAAACUGUUGGCAAAAAUAAGAGACUGAUAUUUUGCCCCCAAAAGGAGAAAGACUUUAAUAAGUUUUAAUUAAGUUUGUUUUGCAUAAUUGCGCAGUUUCCGUGUAAAUCCUUGCUUUGAUUUCUUGUGUUUGGUCAAUAAACU